rnacentral:rRNA from 1 species
GUGGGGAAUAUUGGACAAUGGGGGGAACCCUGAUCCAGCCAUGCCGCGUGUGUGAAGAAGGCCUUUUGGUUGUAAAGCACUUUAAGCGAGGAGGAGGCUACCGAGAUUAAUACUCUUGGAUAGUGGACGUUACUCGCAGAAUAAGCACCGGCUAACUCUGUGCCAGCAGCCGCGGUAAUACAGAGGGUGCAAGCGUUAAUCGGAUUUACUGGGCGUAAAGCGCGCGUAGGUGGCCAAUUAAGUCAAAUGUGAAAUCCCCGAGCUUAACUUGGGAGUUGCAUUCGAUACUGGUUGGCUAGAGUAUGGGAGAGGAUGGUAGAAUUCCAGGUGUAGCGGUGAAAUGCGUAGAGAUCUGGAGGAAUACCGAUGGCGAAGGCAGCCAUCUGGCCUAAUACUGACACUGAGGUGCGAAAGCAUGGGGAGCAAACAGGAUUAGAUACCCUGGUAGUCC